UGUCUAUCCAGUGUAACGCUACCAACGUGGCACUUGGAUGGCGGGGGCAACACAUUCUUCGCUAAACGUCUUACGUUAACCAGGUGCUAGACUGCCCUGUCUGCCCCCAGCAGGCCAUACCUGUGUGUGGCUCCGAGGGCGACACAUACAACAACGAAUGCUACGUUAAGAUGAAGAACUGCAUUGAGAAGACAGAGGUAGGCAUAGUCCACUGUGGCGAAUGCACAAACAGAACCGACGUUCAGACUGUGGGUGUCCCCGUGGCGCCGCAGGAGGUGCCAUCUUUUCAGUCGCUGCUC